CAUUUCUAUUUGAAUAGAGACAAUCACAUAAUAACAGAUGAAACUGUCAACAACACAGUCUGCAUCAUAAAGCACCAGUACUAGCAACUAAACUGUCGUCUACAUGUCAGCGCUCUUUUUCACGACACAGGUGAAACAAGACUUAAACAAAAUAGGCAGAAGUGCAUACAAAUCAUACAGACGGAAAGAGUGUGAGUGACUAGCAAAAAUAUCCAACGAGAAUUCGUU